UCCGGCUCGUCCCCGACCCUUUCCUCUCACUCUCAACCACUACAUGCCGAAGGACCCAUCCGACCUGAAUGUACUUCAGUUCCACGUGCUUCUAUUCCACCUUCUUCAGUGGAACACUCGCAUUAUGAGGGAAGCACGCCUGAAGAAGAUAGCCGGACCGUGAUAAGGCCAUUUGGAGAUUCAUUCGACGACGCUCUGCGGGUGGUGUGGGUACUUAAUAAAAUUGUGAAUAACUAUUAGAGGGGGUCGUGGAUUAGUUAUAGUGCCGCUCCAAGACAAGUGAAGGAUUUGUGGUGGAAUGAGUUCAAGUUCAGAUGGGAGGAAUCGGAGGAGGAGAAAAUUAGAAGAAUUUUUAAGAAAAAAGUUGGUGAUCACAUUUGCAACGUGAUGAAUAGAGCAAAGACACAAAAUGUCAAGCCAGAUUUUAUCACCAAUGACGAUUGGGCGAAAAUGAAGACAAGUUGGGAGAGUGAAAAAAAUAAGGGAAGGAGUGAACAGAACAAGAAGAAUCGAGCUUCUUGUUCUUCUGAAGGGUCUGCGACUUAUGCUGGCGGCUCCAUCAAUGUUGCGGAGCAUAGAAAAAGGAUGGUAAGUUCUGAUAAAUAUGUGGUAAUUUAGUUUAAUUUAAUUGCUCAUUUAUGUUUCAAUUUUUUAGGCACAUGAAUUGGGGAUGGAGCCGACGUAUUUCGCUACAUUUGAACGAACAUUUAAAAAAAAAAAAGAUAAGACAUGGACUAACAACCGAGCGAAAUGUAUUAAAGUAUGUAAGGUUAUAUAAUUUUCACUUUAUGGAAACACGGUUUGAAAACCA